rnacentral:lncRNA from 1 species
AGAUUCAACCUUAGAUCUAUAAUCCUUCACUAGAACCACGUGUUCCUCGUUCUUCCUACCUUCUUCCUUUUGCUCAAUUGACGAUACUAUCCUCCAUGCGGCUCGAAGUGAGCCGAUUACGUUCUUAUACGCUACCGAGAGGAGGUUUCGCUCUUCAACGGUUAGUUCAGAGGAACCCGAGACGGCGCGGCUCGAAGUGAACCGAUGACGUUCUUAUAAGCUACCGAGAGGAGGUUUCGCUCUUCUACGGUUAGUUCAGAGGAAGCCGAGACAGCUACGAGUCGGUCCAUGAAUUUUACCAUCUCCUCGUAACGCUCGGCUUGCUCGGCGAGCUUUGCUAAGUAUAGGCACUGCUCUCUGGUUAAAUUUUCCGGCAAAGCCAUCGUCGGAGAUUCGCCGGGUAUUUUUUAUUUUUAAUUUUAGAGAGAGGGUUUUUUUUUUGUGUUUCGUUUAUGAGAUUUUUUGAAUGUUUCGAAGAGGUUGAGAGAGAGAGGAUUUUAAUAUUGGGAGGGAAGAGGAGUGUAACUUGGUAUUGGUAUCUUUUGUUUAACGCCCACUUGC